UUUUGGACAAUGGGCGCAAGCCUGAUCCAGCAAUGCCGCGUGCAGGAAGAAGGCCUUCGGGUUGUAAACUGCUUUUGUACGGAACGAAAAGGUCCUGGCUAAUACCUGGGGCUAAUUACGGUACCGUAAGAAUAAGCACCGGCUAACUACGUGCCAGCAGCCGCGGUAAUACGUAGGGUGCGAGCGUUAAUCGGAAUUACUGGGCGUAAAGCGUGCGCAGGCGGUGCUGUAAGACAGGCGUGAAAUCCCCGGGCUUAACCUGGGAAUUGCGCUUGUGACUGCAGCGCUAGAGUGCGGCAGAGGGGGAUGGAAUUCCGCGUGUAGCAGUGAAAUGCGUAGAUAUGCGGAGGAACACCGAUGGCGAAGGCAGUCCCCUGGGCCUGCACUGACGCUCAUGCACGAAAGCGUGGGGAGCAAACAGG
rnacentral:rRNA from 1 species